rnacentral:rRNA from 1 species
UACGAAGGGGGCUAGCGUUGUUCGGAUUUACUGAGCGUAAAGCGCGUGUAGGCGGGUCGUUAAGUUGGGGGUGAAAUCCCGAGGCUCAACCUCGGAACUGCCUUCAAAACUGGCGACCUGGAGCAAGAUAGAGGCAAGUGGAAUUGCGAGUGUAGAGGUGAAAUUCGUAGAUAUUCGCAGGAACACCAGUGGCGAAGGCGACUUGCUGGAUCUUUGCUGACGCUGAGACGCGAAAGCGUGGGGAGCAAACAGG